UUGCGGUGAUGACCAUCUUAGGACACCUUUGGAAUAAUCAUGAAAAAAUAAUUAAAUGUCCUGAGCAAC